ensembl:lncRNA
AUCACACCCCUGGGAGGUGGGAAUUACCAUCGAUUAUUACCCACAUGUUACAGACCAGGAAGCUCGGAGAGGUCAGGAGACCCAGCCAAGGUCACACUGCUAGGCAGUGGAGAAGCUGGGACUGAACGCCUCAUCACACGGUCUGGCUACCUCCUCCCGCCACCACAUUCUUUGUCAGAGGCCAGUGACUCAUGGGCAGAGCGGCCCCAGCCUCAAAAUCUCAGUGCCUGAAAUAUCACCAUCAUUGCCCGAUUUCUUUGGCCGAAGGCUACUCUUUUAUGAAUACCGCCUCCCACUGGGGAGAACCCACUGUGUGCCUGAACUCUUCUGUGGGAAGGAGUUUGAGAUCCUUUCCCAAAACUAGGGAGACGCUUCCGCUUCUACAAGGGAGGGGCACAGGUACGUCAGGGGAAAAGCAGCUGGUGUGGGGCACAGAGAAGGGAAAUGGCGUUAUUAAGGGUUUAUUUUGUGCCAGGCAAUUUUAUAAACAUCUCGUUGCAUCCAGCAGGAAUUGUUAUCCCCACUUUACAGAUGAGGGUUGGGGAAACCGAGUCUCCAGUGCUGUGAGCCACUGGACACAGUGUGCUGGUUAACGUGCAGCUGGGUGUCUUAUUGGGGGCUGACGAGGGGAAAAGGGCAGCCCUGGGGAAGCUCCAGGUCCCUCGGGAAGAGCUCAGGGUAGGUGCCAGCAGCCAGGGCACUGGGAGGGCUUGAUAUCCUGUGAGUACUCUGGUCCUCCUUCUUCUUCCUGAAGGCUGUCCUGGCUGUGGACUGAGAGUGGCCAGAGGGGAGCAGAGGCAGCUUCUCACAGAGGUCACCAGGCUGGAGUGGAGCCGCUGCUGCCAACCGUGCCUGCAACCCGUGGCCUGAACACCUUCCAGGUCUCCGCAGGGCCUCACCCACCCUGCCAGCUCCGGGCAGCUGCUGCUUUGGACGACUCUGGGGCAGCCAGGAAAAAUUCCUCACCCGACCCCUAGCCAGAGAUGAGAGGUGUCCAGGCCUCAGAACCGCUGCCCCGCCUCCCCACCACCGGCCACUAAGCACCCCGUGUGCCAGGAUGUGUGCCAAGGGCUCUGUGUGCUGUGUCAUCUCAGCGACUCCUCCCUCUGCCCUGUCCAAGGAACAGGUGACAACACCUGUUCGGAGAGUUAAUUCAACUUUCUCAAGGUCACCGCUAAGCCAGCCAGUGGCACCAGAGUGAAAAUGUGAAUUCAGGCUGGGUCUGGAAACCCUCUCUAAACUGCUGAAUUCCAUGUCAGGGACUCUGGCCUCGUGAGAAGCAGUGACCCUUUCCAUGCCAGUGUCCUGAACUUUUCGGGGUCGCUCUCAGGUGAGAACAGCUUCAUGGGAGCCUCUAGGAGCCAAGCCUUGUGCUGGGCUCAGGGUAAAACAGUGACAAAGGAGGACGACAUCCCUGCUUCAGAGGGUCCUACAGUCAGGUGGGGCAGACAAGGCAUGAAUCAAGCAACCCCAGAGAGACCAGGUGGCAUUCAAGGCUCAAGGCUCGCUCUGAGGGAAAGGGAUGAGCAUUGGUGACAACCCAAUGAAUGAAGCAGCGUGGACUGGCCCCGGGGUCAGGGAGGGCUAGGGUUGACAUCAGAUCCCCAAGGUGUCCAUAGAGAGAGGCCAGCAGCUGAGGUAAGGGAGGAGAGAGCACUGGGCAGAAAGGACUGUGUGUGCAAAGGCCUUCGGUGAUGGGGGCAGGGUGCGGAGGGCUUGGGGAACCAGGUCAGAGUGGCUGGAGACGUAGGCAUGAGAUGAGGCUAUGAUGGAACGUGGUGAUGAUGGCGGGCCUGAUUCUAAAAAUAGUGGAAUUUAUUGGCAAUUGGCCAGGCGCGGUGGCUCACGCCUGUAAUCUCGGCACUUUGGAGGCCGAGGCGGGUGUAUCAUCUGAGGUCAGGAGUUCAAGACCAGCUUGGCCAACAUGGUGAAACCCCAUCUCUACUAAAAAAUACAAAAACAUUAGCCGGGCAUGGUGGCAGGAGACUGUAAUCCCCGCUACUUUGGGAGGCUGAGGCAGGAGAAUCGCUUGAAACAGAGACAGAGGUUGCAGUGAGCUGAGAUUGUGCCACUGCACCUCAGCCUGGGCAACAGAGCAGGACUCCAUCUCAAAAAAAGAAAAAGAAAAA